rnacentral:piRNA from 6 species
UUUCGUACGUAGCAGAGCAGCUCCCUCGCU